rnacentral:rRNA from 1 species
AUGCCUUCUCCCGUCCGCCCAUCGCCCCAUCUUAUACCCGGCCACCCCUCGCGCUCUUUCCCCCGCAACCAAUGUGGUACAAAACUAACACAACCCCCCUGCACGGAGCAAAACAGACCGACUCAAUUAAUUAGGAGGAGCGGGCGGGCCAGCAAUCCUUGUUGGGCCGUGCCUUCCCCUGGCCCAUGCAAACCGGGGAGCCCAGCCAGAAGGCAGGUGAUCCGGAGUCUCCUCCUCUGCGCUGCGCUUCUCUGCUUCUUUCUUCUUCCUCCUCCCGCAAGCCGACCUACGCCUCUGUACGCUCGGCGAGCCCGAGAAAAGUGCGGGAUGAAGACGAGGUCGCAGACCACCCCGAAGCCACUCAAUACGGUGCGGCUGCCCCCCGUGGAGAGCCCCCGCGCGAGGCCGAGGCCGAAGCCGAAGCCGAGGCCGGAGACGCGGAAGAAGGGGGCCCUCGGCGACCUCCGACGCCCCAAGAAGCCCCCCACCGCCUUCUUCUAUUUCAUGGAGGAUUUCCGGAAAACGUUUCAGGUAGAAAAUCCAAGUGUAAAAGCAAUGCAGGAUGUAGGGAAGGCAUGCGGCGAGAAAUGGAAUAAAAUGGCAUUUGAGGAAAAGGUGAAGUAUUAUGAUCUAGCUACCGAGAGGCGUGCUGAGUUUGAGAAGGCGAUGGCUCAAUAUAACAAGAAAAAGAUGAACGGUGAAUUGUCUGAAGAAUCAGAGUAG